UACAGAGGUCCCAAGCGUUGUUCGGAUUCACUGGGCGUAAAGGGUGCGUAGGUGGUGAGGUAAGUUUGAUGUGAAAUCUCCGGGCUCAACCCGGAAAUGGCAUUGAAUACUAUCUUGCUAGAGGAGUGGAGGGGGGACUGGAAUACUUGGUGUAGCAGUGAAAUGCGUAGAUAUCAAGUGGAACACCAGUGGCGAAGGCGAGUCCCUAGACACUUCCUGACACUGAGGCACGAAAGCUAGGGGAGCAAACAGG
rnacentral:rRNA from 1 species